rnacentral:rRNA from 1 species
GGCCUGAGAGGGCGACCGGCCACACUGGGACUGAAACACGGCCCAGACUCCUACGGGAGGCAGCAGUGGGGAAUAUUGCACAAUGGGCGAAAGCCUGAUGCAGCGACGCCGCGUGAGGGAUGACGGCCUUCGGGUUGUAAACCUCUUUCAACAGGGAAGAAGCGAAAGUGACGGUACCUGCAGAAGAAGCGCCGGCUAACUACGUGCCAGCAGCCGCGGUAAUACGUAGGGCGCGAGCGUUGUCCGGAAUUAUUGGGCGUAAAGAGCUCGUAGGCGGCUUGUCACGUCGUUUGUGAAAGCCCGGGGCUUAACCCCGGGUCUGCAGUCGAUACGGGAAGGCUAUAGUUCGGUAGGGGAGAUCGGAAUUCCUGGUGUAGCGGUGAAAUGCUCAGAUUUCAGGAGGAACACCGGUGGCGAAGGCGGAUCUCUGGGUCGAUACUGACGCUGACCACCCAAAGCGUGGGGAGCGAACAGGAUUAGAUACCCUGGUAGUCCACGCCGUAAACGGGGGGCACUAGGUGUGGGCAACAUUCCACGUUGUCCGUGCCUCACCUAACGCAUUAUUUGCCCCGCCUGGGGAGUACUGCCGCAAUGUUAAAACUCAUAUGAUUUGACGGGGGGCCCGCGCAAGCGCGGAGCAUGUGGCUUAAUUCGACGCAACGCGAAGAACCUUACCAAGGCUUGACAUACACCGGAAGACCUCUAG